rnacentral:rRNA from 1 species
UACGGAGGGGGCGAGCGUUAUUCGGAAUUAUUGGGCGUAAAGGGCGCGUAGGCGGCUUGACAAGUCAAGGUGAAAUCCCUCGGCUCAACUGAGGAACUGCCUUUGAAACUGUCUGGCUUGAGGCCGGGAGGGGGUAGCGGAAUUCCAGGUGUAGCGGUGAAAUGCGUAGAUAUCUGGAGGAACACCGGUGGCGAAGGCGACAUCCUGGACCGGUAUUGACGCUGAGGCGCGAAAGCCAGGGGAGCAAACGGG